ACGUGAUCUGAGUUCAGACCGGAGUAAUCCAGGUCAGUUUCUAUCUAUAAUAGGGCUUUUUCUAGUACGAAAGGACCGAAAAAGCAUGGCCAAUAGACAACUAAGCCAUUCAACCAACUUAUGUAUUUUACUUAAUUAGUACUAGCCUACUAUCUGCUUUAAUA
rnacentral:rRNA from 1 species